rnacentral:rRNA from 1 species
GACCCCRGGUCAGGCGGGGCCACCCGCU